UGCGAUGGCACUGCGUUCGCGCGGUUUUUUGCUCAGACAGUGCACAGUUGUUUUGAGAGUGAGUGUUUUACAGUUGUUUUUUUCAUCUUUCGCACACCAGCUGAGUUAUCGGUUUUUUUAAUAAGUGGUUCCGUUGAAAAUGGGCAAAGAGAAAAAUAAAACUUGUUCCGGUGGAAUAAGGCCUAAUAAGCACUACGACAAACAAGCCAUGGAACAAGCUGUAAGGAAAAUUCUUCAUGAAGAGUGGACUGUCUACAAGGCGGCCAAAAAUUUUAAAGUGCCGUGGUCAACUUUGAAAGAAAAUGUUGUGAGAGCUAGUGAACAUUUUAAUGAAGUUGGUGAUUUUAAUUUCGAAGUUGCGAAAGUUGGUAGACCCAUUGCACUCUGACUUGACAUAGAAUGCAAACUUGCCAAAUACCUAUGUGAUACAGAUGCAGGAACUAGGAUUUGGAUUGACUGUUCUACAAGUCAGGAAACUAGCAUACGACCUAGCCAAAAAAUAUGGGUCAGCAGAUAGAUUUAAUGUAGAGAAAGGAGCUGCAGGGAAAAAAUGGUACCGAGGGUUUCGUGAAAGAUUCAAUUUAACUCUCAGGCGACCUGAAAACUUGUCCCGGUAUCGUGCAUUCUCUGUUGAAUCCAUCAUACGAAAAGAGUUUUACGCCACAAAUUAUCCAAGCUAGUUUCCGUAAAACCGGGGUAUUCCCAUUUAACAGAGACGCCAUUGCUCCUGAGGCAACAGCUCCUGCUAUUGUUUCCAACAGAAAUUGUGGUGAAGAAGUAGGACAGCUUGUUUCAGAUGAGUCUCUAUUGACCUUCCCAACCUACGAGACACAAAGUUUGGGCACACCUUCAAGGAAAUCGCAGUCUGCCAAAGUUCACACAGUUUCACCAACAUUGAAAUCUGAUGCUGGUCCAUCACGCAGCCAUGACACCAGUCCAUCAUGCAGUAAAGUUGCCAGAAGAAGCCUUCGCAAGAAGAAUCAGUGCCCCAAAAAUAAAUCCACAAUGCUAUCUGUUGACAGUGACGAUAAUUCAUUGUGUUCUAUCUGUGGAUAUAGUUAUGAAUAUGAUGUAAAAAACAACACAGGUUCUAAGUGGAUUCAGUGUUGUUUUUGUCUGCAAUGGUACCACUAUGAGUGCGAUGGUAUUGAUGAUGAAUUUGAUGACGAUGUUUACAUGUGUUCUCAGUGUUGAGAAUAAUUAGCUUCCAGGGAAAAGUUGUGAAAAGGUCUACUGAAGACAUAAAAUGUUUAUAACUAUCAUUUCCUUUGUAAAAAGUUUCCAUUUUUGGUUAAUACAUUACUAAUGAUAUAAUUGCAAAAGCAACAUAAAUGUUUGGUUAUUUUUGUCUAUCAGAGAGUAUCACGGAAUUAGGAUACCACUAUCACGGAAUAAAGACACUUGUCACGGAAUAAGGAGCCUAUGCUAUUAUUGAUUUGAAAAUUUAUUCUGUUGCAAUGUGUACUCAGAAACGAGUGAAAGUACACUGAACUUAUUGAUAAUAUAGUAAGUUUCACUUUAAAAAUUGGUACAUUUAAAAAGUCUCUCAGUAAGUUCACUGAACUGUAGUAAAAUUUAUUUAUCACGGAAUAAGGCAACCUUACCCUAUGUAUGGUGUUGGAAAAGUGCAUGAAUAUUAAACAAAUAAAGACUGUU